rnacentral:rRNA from 1 species
UACGUAGGCAGCGAGCGUUGUUCGGAGUUACUGGGCGUAAAGGGUGUGUAGGCGGUUGUUUAAGUUUGGUGUGAAAUCUCCCGGCUCAACUGGGAGGGUGCGCCGAAUACUGAAUGACUUCGAGUGCGGGAGAGGAGAGUGGAAUUCUGGUGUAGCGGUGAAAUGCGUAGAUAUCAGGAGGAACACCGGUGGUGUAGACGGCUCUCUGGACCGUAACUGACGCUGAGACACGAAAGCGUGGGGAGCAAACAGG